GAUGAAGAACGUAGUGAAAUGCGAUAAGUAAUGUGAAUUGCAGAAUUCAGUGAAUCAUCGAAUCUUUGAACGCACCUUGCACUCCUUGGUAUUCCGAGGAGUAUGCCUGUUUGAGUGUCAUUAAAUUCUCAAUCUCUACACCUUGUGUUGCUAGAAGAUUGGAUUGUGGGGGGCUUUGUGAGCCUUUGAUUAGACUCACUCCCCUGAAAUAUAUUAGCUGGAAUGCCUUUGCAAACCAACUAUCAGUGUGAUAAUUAUCAGUACUGGAGUUGAUGCAUAAAGGGUAUCCGCUUUCUAACUGUCAUUAGACAAUAUGAAUAAAUUUGACCUCAAAUCAGGUAGGACUACCCGCUGAACUUAAGCAUAUCAAUAAGCGGAGGA
rnacentral:misc_RNA from 1 species